rnacentral:lncRNA from 1 species
GGCGCUCGGCCCGUCGGCGCCAGCGCCCGCUGCGGCCUCCACAGGAAGUACCCAGCGGCCGGCCUCGCUCCGCGUCCGCGGCUCCAGCGGCUGCCACGUAGGCCAAGCCUUAAAGGGGCCGCGCCGCAGGGCCCGCCCCGGCCGCGCCUUAAAGGGGACGCUCGCGGCCCACCGCACCCAGGCCCCGCCCUCCCCGCCGCGUUCAGGCCCCGCCCUCCCCGCGCGAGGCCCCGCCCCUGAGGGCCGGCCUGCCGAAAGGACGCUGCAGCCGGCGCUGUUCAGGCAGGGAGAGCCCGGGUCGGCAAGCGAGCUCCCGGGGGCUGAUGGGUGUCCCCCGGGUGGGGGAUGGGCGCACACCCGACGCGGACCACACUGCGCAUGCUCAGUCCGGGGUCGGACUGCGGCUCGGGCCAGAGGUGCACCCCAGCGCCUCGCAGAGGGACAGGGAGGCCGAGUCUUCCCCUGAAGACCCUAUGGAAAAGUACCAGGUCCAUGCGCUUCAGCUCCUGCAAACCCUAGAACAUUCAGAAUUCAACAUCUGCAGCCCUCAGGCUCCUAAGACACCCUAUCAGUAGUCCCCAGCUGGGGGAAACUGGGCCUUUUCCAGGGCUUGUGAAAAUGUUUAGGGCCUAAAAAAAUUCACAAAACAAAAGGAAAGUUGGAAAAUAAAGAGAAAUGAAUGUUUCAGUUCAGUUCAGUCGCUCAGUUGUGUCCAGCUCUUUGCAACCCCAU